AUGACCUGCUGUGCCAGUAUAAUCAUUUGCUCUGGUGCACACUGGCCUUGUCCAUUACUUUUCUCUCCUUUAACUGUCAUAGGAGUCCUCUCUACAUUCUCCUUUACUAGUGCCAUGACUGGUGGGGAAACCAACUUACAGGAAGCCAGGCUCCCAGCCUUCCCUACUCACAGAGAUGUGAGAGUGAAGGAAGGAAAUGUAUUCACCAUCUGGCAAAUUUCUUGGUGCUGUGGAAGGACUUUGGCCAUCUGUCAUCCCCCUGAAUGCAGUGAAUCCAGAAUUGGAGCUCUGCAGUGCAGGGCAGCUGACAGCAGGGGGCAGGGGAGAUGAUUUCCCUCCUGCAGGAGGGCUAGUGGGACAUUUCUUCUACCAUUAUCCAAGGCACAGUGUAAAUUUCCUGACCUGUUGGGACUGGGUUUUUUGUGUUUUACUACUUUGUAGGUACAUUAAUAACAAAGAAUAAUUCUUUCUAAUCAUGGUCUACAUUUUCUAUGUAGCCGAACAGAGGAUUGGUCUAAAGAAAAGUGUGCUUUUAAAUAACAGUCAAAAAUAAUGUGCCCAACAUUUAUUCCUUUUGGUUUCUAAAAGAAUUCCUCCCAUCUUAUACAUGGUUUUAUUUGUAGUUGGUUUAGAAUCAGUGAUUCUCUAUUUUAUUUUAUUUUAUUUUAUUUUAUUUUAUUUUAUUUUAUUUUAUUUUAUUUUUUAAAAGAUUUUUUAUUUUAUUUAUUUGAGAGAGAGGGAGAGAGAACAUGAGCAGGGGGGAAGGGCAGAGGCAGAGGGACAAGCAGACUUUUCACCAAGUGGGGAGCCUGAUGUGGGGCUGGAUCCCGGGACCCUGAGAUCAUGACCUGAGCUGAAGGCAGACUCUUAACUGACUGAGCCACCCAGGCGGCCCGGAUUCUCUAUUUUUUAAAUCCUAUGCUUUCUGAUAGUAACAAACAUAUUUAGUGAACACCUAUGAUAAGCCAAGCAGGAGUGUGUGGUAAGUCAUUCUGCCUUGGUUCAGAAUUAGUACUUCAAUCUGUAUUGUCUAAAAUGGUAGCCACUCACCAUGUGUGGGUACUGAGCACUUGAAAUAUGGCUAGUGUGAUUGAGAAACUGAAUUUAAAAAUUUCAUUUGAGGGGCUCCUGGGUUUGCGCCGACGGUUAAGCCUUGGACUCUUGGUUUUGGCUCAGCCUGUGAUCUCAAGGUCGUGAGAUAAGCCCCACAAAGGGCUCUGUGCUGGGUUUGAAGCCUGCUUGGGAUUCUUGCUCCCUCUUCCUCCCCGCUCCUGCUUGUGCUCUCUCUCUCUCUCUAAAAAAUAAAGAAGUAAAUCUUCAGAAAAAAAUUUCAUUUGAAUCAAUUUAAAUUUGAAAAUGGACAUUCAAUUUAAAUACUGGGCAACAUUUAAGUGUGUUUUGAAAAACCCAGAUAUACAAGUCUACUUUCUGAUUGUAAAUUUUAGGAAAUCUACAUGUAGAUCCAGUAGUUCCAAAGUAGCAUCUGAGAAGCUUUUAGUUGUAAAACCCACACUGGAUUUUGAAGGCUUGGCAUGAAAAAAGGAAUAAAAUAUUAAUAUUUUUAUAUUGAUUUCAUGUUGAGAUGAUAAUGUAUUGGGUUAAAUAAAAUAGUAAUUUCAUGUUUGUCUUACUUAUUUUAAUGGGGCUCCUAAAUUUUAAUUUGAUUUAAUUUAAAUUUGAAAUUACAUAUGUGACUUGCAUUAUAUUUGCUGGACAGUACUACUUUAGAUAGUACUAACCAUGGUCUUGGGACCACAAAUGGCUUAUCAUAAACCUAAAAAGAGAAAUAAAUUACAAACUUCUAAAUUGUUUCUUUCUUUAAAAAAAAUCUGUGUCAAUUGUGGAGGUUUUUGGGGGUUUUUUUUUGCAUUUUUAAAUUUUAAGUUCAAUUAGCCAACUUAAGAGCACAUCAUUAGUUUCAGAUAUAGUGUUCAAUAGUUUAUCAGUUUCUUAUAACACCCAGUGCUCAUUACAUCACCAGCCCUUCUUAAUGCCCAUCACUCAAUUACUGCAUCCUCACACCCACCUCCCCUCCAGCAACCUUCAGUCUGUUUCCUGUAGUAAAGA
rnacentral:lncRNA from 1 species